GUCCAUAUCAGAUUGAAACACUGGUUCCCAUAUUAUCACCAAAGCUAUGCAAUAUCCAUUGAGCAUAGUCAGUACCUAGAUGGGUGACCACUUGGGAAUAACAGGUGCUGUAAG